rnacentral:lncRNA from 1 species
GCCCGACAUGGCCACAACGCACAGCCCCUACCCGAGCUGGAGGCCAGAGCUGACAUGUCCGGUGGUCUCGCAGGCCUGCUGAGCCUCUCAGUGCACUCUGGGGCAGAGACCCAUUGGAGUCGGAGGGCUCCGGAGAAGAUGGGCCACUGUGCAUGCAGAGGCCGGGGAGCCCUGGCAGCACCUGGACCCUGGGCUGCCGCAGCGGCUGCUGGAGGAGAAGGAGCGGGUGCUGGCAGUCCUGCGGGAGACCGUCAAGGUUCUGCAGAUGAAGGUGGCCAGGCUGGAGCACCCGGUGAAACUAAAGGACCAGCGGACUGGGUGUUUCUGGGUGUGGCAACGCACUGUCCAUCAGACGUGGAGCAACCGAGGAGGACCCGAGCCAGCGUGUCCACAAGCAGAAGCCUGGCCCCUCCUGACUGCACAUCCCGGGUGCCCAGCCGAUGUGGCCUGAGGUUCCCCUGCUGCCCCCCACCCCCCCGCCUCCUCCCCACCAAGAAGACCAGUUUGGACAUGAAGAUGGGUCUGGUUCCCUGGAGCCCCUGA